AGUCUGCAACCCGGCUACAUGAAGCUGGAAUCGCUAGUAAUCGCGGAUCAGAAUGCCGCGGUGAAUACGUUCCCGGGUCUUGUACACCACCGCCCGUCACACCAUGGGAGUCGGAAAUGCCCGAAGUCUGUGACCCAACCUCAGGGAGGGAGCAGCCGAAGGCAGGUCGGAUGACUGGGGUGAAGUCGUAACAAGGUAAC
rnacentral:rRNA from 1 species